UACGUAGGCAGCGAGCGUUGUUCGGAAUUACUGGGCGUAAAGAGUGUGUAGGCGGUGCUCUAAGUUCGGUGUGAAAUCUCCUGGCUCAACUGGGAGGGUGCGCCGGAAACUGGAGUGCUUGAGCGUGGGAGAGGAAAGCGGAAUUCCUGGUGUAGCGGUGAAAUGCGUAGAUAUCAGGAGGAACACCUGUGGUGUAGACGGCUUUCUGGACCAUAGCUGACGCUGAGACACGAAAGCGUGGGUAGCAAAUAGG
rnacentral:rRNA from 1 species